CGGUGAGCAAGAGCUGACUGGUUCACCAUGCGAGCGACAACCCCACCCGGCCCAAAUAUGGACAGUCAAGGUAAUGGCUGUCCUUGGGCUCGGGGAACAGUUUGCCUACAUUAAGAGAGAGGAGUGUGUCUCAUGGCAUCCCGUCCCUCUCCGUCCUCUCUGCUCCACACUAAUGUGGUUAAGUACGGGACGUGUGUUUGACUCUUUGACAAAAGCUCUCCAUGUAGCGUAAGGUGGAACCGGUUCAGCGCAGCUUCAGCAGAACACUCGGAGGAAAAAAGUACUAAUCCUGUACUUUUACCCCACGCUGCUGAUAUCCUUUGUCCAUAAGGCAUGUUUCCCUUCAAAGUCCCAAGCACGGAGGGGUGAAGAAGAGAGAAAUGGUGUCUGAGGAAGAGGAGAAUGAGGCAACAGCGGAUAAAAUGUGACGAGACUGGAGUGAAAUAGAGAUGCAAGGCUUCAAGUCAAGAGGGGAGGCACCAACUUGAGAGUGAGGGAGAGGGGACAGAGAGGAGGAAUCAAGUUGGAAACGAGAAAGAAACGCGGGAAAAGGUAAAAAAAAAAAAAAGGGGGCUGACCUCUGAAACAUAAGCUUUAUUUCUCAUAUAAUGUGUUACUUCCCACUUGGUGUGCUAUUUGAGUGUAAAUACUCACGCACAUACAUGAUUUUACACUUCUUGCUGCCUGUGUGUUCUUGAUUUCAGUGUUCGGCUCUGCUAUGCUCUCUGUUGGUUUGUGUACCUAAAGUCAUUUUCCUUCCUCCCACUCCUGCUGGAACCUUUCUCCAUGUCUCCAUUCUUCCCCAAAAACCCAGCGACGUCUUUUAUGUACUGUAUUUACUUUUACAGAAUAUGUAAGUUUGCUUUAAAAAAAAAGUCUUGCCCGAAAUUAUUACUGAGAGUUAGUCAAAAACUCGGGCUGAUUUUGUGGCCCAGUGGUGAGGGCGGAGGGGACGGAUGAACAGGAUCGGGGCGCUCACUUUUCUGCCAAUAUUGUCUGUGAAUCGCUGUUAUUGUAAAUUUUACCAGACUAAGAGUUAAAGAGUUGAGUCUUUGAGUUCUAGUUUGGAAGCUAUGAAAGUGUUAAAGAUGACACAAAGUAUUUGAAAUAUUUGACCAUCAUCCUCCCUGCUCUGGAAUUGACACGUCCCACCCUCUUCUGCCCCUGACUGUGUGUUUGUGCUCUCAGUAUGUGUCCCCACUGUACAUAACCAAACCUCAUGUGUUUGUCUCUCUGCAUCUACUUAAACCUAACCUACUGCUCCGAAUACCUUUAUUCUUCGUACCUCAUCCCGCUGCCCUGUUUGCUCUCCAUGCUCUCAGCCUCGCCCCCAUUGUUUAAUAUCGACAAGUUACUGUUGUCCCACGCAUGUGCGCUGGAGGACCUAUGAUCUAUCCUCGUUCUGUCCAAGCUCUUCAGAAGCCUGUCCAUCUCCAUGGAGACCUGAUACCAGGUGCAGUCCCUGUACCCGACAUGCAAACAAACUCACAAAGAUUCCUCAGUUUCCUGCCUGCUGGGGUGCAUCAUGAGACAGCAGGCAGAAGAAAUGUUUCCUGGUGAAAGGUGACUGCAGAGAUGUUGCUUUUGAUAGCUUUGUCUGACUUCAGGUUCAAGGCAUAAUCCUAAAGUUCCAGGCAGCAGACAUGAUGCUAGUCACCUGGUUUUGGCCCGUUGAUGAGGUUUAGCAGAGGCUGAACAUGCAGCGCGAGUUUAUGUUGA